CUGUGUCCUGGCUCAGUUGGUUAGAGCAUGGUGCCCAUCACGCCAAGGUUGCAGGUUCGAUCCCCUGCAUAUUCCUGCAUUGCAGG